UACGUAGGGUGCGAGCGUUUGUCCGGAAUUAUUGGGCGUAAAGAGCUCGUAGGCGGCCUGUCGCGUCGGAUGUGAAAGCCCGGGGCUUAACCCCCGGGUCUGCAUUCGAUACGGGCAGACUAGAGUGCGGUAGGGGAGACUGGAAUUCCUGGUGUAGCGGUGAAAUGCGCAGAUAUCAGGAGGAACACCGGUGGCGAAGGCGGGUCUCUGGGCCGUAACUGACGCUGAGGAGCGAAAGCGUGGGGAGCGAACAGG
rnacentral:rRNA from 1 species